ensembl:lncRNA
GUGAAGUCCAGCAGCCUGACUCCCCUUUGAUUUGUGAUUUUGUGCAUUUCAAUUUCAGCCGAUUGGCUUAGGCUGUAUAUUCUUGGCUCCGUUUCCGAGCAGGAGCCUCCAGGGAGCCCUCGCUGUAAGCCGGCCAUAACGAGGUGCCUGCCGUUAGCCCAGUCGAUAGCACAGAGCUUCUCCUGCUCUCCUCCAUCCCUCCACCCUGUCCCCAAAUAGUUCUGCACGGCAAAUGAAAACACACACUGGGAUGGCCCUGGGAGCACAGCAGUGGUGCCCCAGGGCAAGGAAUCACCGCAGACCCUUGGGGCUCACUGUGGAGGAGGAGAAGCCAGAAAACAGCACCAGAGCCAAUGAUUUGUGAAAGAGGUGGAUCUUAAAGGCUAUAACUUUAAAGGAGUCUCUCUUAAACCUGGCAAAAAGCCACCCCAGCCACAUCAUUAACUGAAAGACAAUCAUGCUCUGCCUUGCCUUAUAAAAGUACAGAUAGGGAUCGAGAUGCUGCAGUGUUUUUGUGAAGGUAAGAUCUUGUACUAAUAGGAAAGACUUCGGUGGGGUUUGUAUCGGGCCCAUCAGAUCCUUCUUGAAUGACAUCACCACAUGUUAAUGAGAGUUGGUGUCUCUUCCAUAAUGUAGUUUCAGGGAGAUGUAUGAGAUGUUAUUUUCUCAAUCAGAGAAUUGUCUUUGCAUUGUCAUUGCCUGCCUGUUACAAUACAUUAGAGCAUGCUCCCCAAAUUCCUGCAGCAGGAAAUUAAUUGGGAACGUAGUGUUGAGAUGUGGCUUCAAAGCUGAGACACCCUGAAGUCUCAGGAUUGCCUGAUCCUGGAUCUUGGAGCCUGCGCAGAUGAACAAAGAUUCUUUCAGCAGGGAAAGCAGCCAUUUGGUGUUCUGGAAUAUGGUGGACCCAUCCCUGAAGAGGCAUCUCAGAGCUAGAUCACCUCCGUGCCAUGCCACUGGGUGAAAUGAGUAAGGAUGGAGCUCUCACGCACAGCUGAUCAGUGUAGGGUCAAUCUUUCCAGAUCUGGAGGGCUGCACUAAAUCUGCCCAACAUGCCCAGCAAACCCUUACACUUUCUGAGUCUUCUAGCAUGGGAAGGAUCUUGCUAGUCAUUCACAGUACAAGACAAUAACUGUUUAACCUUAUGCUUUAGGUAGAAAAAGUAACGUCACGACCUCCUUUUAUUCACAUGUAUUAGGACCCUCUACUUUUCUUGUACUUAGGUGCACAGUUUUGAAAUGCCAGCCUUUUGGUUAACUCUUAUGUUAAAGAUAUAAUUUUGUUCACUUGUCCUUGCUAAUUAGAAUGUUCUUGAACUAGACAGUUAACAAGCCUCAUACAGAUUUCUUUAGGCACUAGAUUUAGUGACGCCUUCUGCCCCUCUUCUUUAUUAUUUCAAAUCACUCGUGUGAAUGAGAUUAAAAAUUGACUUAAUGAAAAAUUUGACUCCCAUGUUAAACAAAACUGUCUGAAAAAUUAAUAAGAGGAAGUGCAAUUUUUCAAAAUGGAAAUAAAAGGGAAAAGCAAUUCCUAAGCAUGGCUAAGUUCAAUAGCACUGGUACCUCCAUAGAUACACAUACAUAUAAGUACACUUAUCACAGAAUCAUAGAAUCAUAGAUUCAUUUGAGUUGGAAGAGACCCUUAAAGGUCACCUGGUCCAACUCACCUGCAAUGAACAGGGACACCUACAGCUACAUCAGGGUGCUCAGAGCCCCGUCCAGCCUGAGCUUGAGUGUCUCCAGGGAUGGGGCAUCCACCACCUCUCUGGGCAACCUGUGCCAGUGCUUCACUGCCCAUAUUGUAAAAAAGUUUUUUCUUAUAUCGAGUUAAAAUCUUCUGGAGGAGCACUGCAGCCAGCCUGGCACCACCUCAGAACCAGAGUCCACACACAGCAUGGAUGGCAGACAGCCUACAGUUGCUUGCAGAAGCACGGAAUUUGGGCUAACUUUGGCAGUUGCAAUUCCAGGGAAUAGGAGAAACGUUUGAAGAAGCCUCUCCAGAUGUGCCCCAAGUGAGAGUUCAGGAGGUGAUCCUGCCCUUCUACUUUGCACUGUUUCCAUGGAAAUAAGUAGGAGGCAUUACUUUUGGAGUGACCUACGUAGCAUGGAAUUUCUGCUGGGAAUCAGGGCUUUGAAAUAGAGAAAUUACACCAAGUUGCAGUCUCAGGCCUGGUGAGUGACGAGUACCAUAACCUCAACCCAAGGACCAGCACACUCACCGUGUCAAAGAAGGCACUCAAAAUACCUGAGAAAUAAAUUACAAUUACUAUCCUGUUUAACAAAGAUAUUUUUUCACUUCCCAAGUUGCUCUACCUUUUGUGGUUAUAACAGCAGAGCAAAGGUAAAACUUUGCAGGGUCUUCAUACUGAUGAAUCUACUUGCCAAGAUGCAGACUGACUGGAAAAGCUGCAAAAACUAGUUUUUUCCUUCUUUUUUUUCAGUGUCUUUUAUAAGUUUUCAUUUUUAUGGUUGAAGAAAAAAUAGUUUCAUGCCUCGUUAUCUCUCCCAUCUUCCUCUUAUUCAAACUUAUGAAACAUCCUCUCAAGCAAUCCCAGAAUUCAGUAGUGAUUUGAAAUCUUAUGAUAGCCACAAAUAAUUAAAAAUAUCCAUUCUGCCACUAUUCAGGAAUUUCAUCUAUUUUUUUUCCAAUAAGGACCGUGUAGGCAGAAACUGAAUAAUACAUAAAGUAAACAAAAGAGUCAAGGCUGAUUAGGGAAGCAGGCAUCAAGUUUCAUUUCCCAAGGACAUUACAUCUGUAAAAUUAGUAUCUCACAAAUAUUUUGAAAUGUCUUCAAACUGAGAAACUAAUAAAAUAAAUUGUCUUUUUUUCAUAUUUUUUUUCUUUUUUUGUAGAGUUACUACUUCUGGAUAUGAAUUAUUCAACAUUUCUUUAAUGCCUGAAAAGAUAAAGAAUAUCCUUUUAGCUUUGCAGAUAUGGGACAGCAGAAGAGCUACUGCUAUGGAAAUAAAAACUUACCUGUUUUCUUAAAGGUCUCAAAAUCUGUGCUGUACUUGCACAUAUUUAGGAUAAAAAUCAUUUAGAUAUGCAUUUUGCUAAUUCACUUUGUAGGAGAUACUAUACCAUUAUGCAGAAUAUAAUAUUAAAUACUAGACUUUACAUGGCAUUUUAAAACAUCUGGGAAAUAUAAUGGUGAAGUUGAAUAAAAUUUAUUAUCUAAUUAUUAAAACUGCACGGAUAGGAUUUAAUUCUUCAUUGAUUUCUUUAAUUUCUUACAGCAAUUUUCUGUGGAGGAUAUGUUUUCUGAG